rnacentral:rRNA from 1 species
CCAUGAGUAAAGUGGCGCACGGGUGAGUAACACGUGAAUAAUCUACCUCCGAGUGGGGAAUAACUGAGAGAAAUCUUAGCUAAUACCGCAUAAUACCCACGGGUCAAAGCAGUAAUGCGCUUGGAGAGGAGUUCGCGGCCGAUUAGUUAGUUGGCGGGGUAAUGGCUCACCAAGGCGAUGAUCCGUAUCUGGUCUGAGAGGAUGAUCAGCCACACUGGGACUGAGACACGGUCCAGACUCCUACGGGAGGCAGCAGUGGGGAAUAUUGGACAAUGGGGGCAACCCUGAUCCAGCAAUGCCGCGUGAGUGAUGAAGUCCUUAGGG